CCUACGGGUGGCAGCAGUAGGGAAUCUUCCACAAUGGGCGAAAGCCUGAUGGAGCAACGCCGCGUGGGUGAAGAAGGUCUUCGGAUCGUAAAACCCUGUUGUUAGAGAAGCAAGUGCGUGAGAGUAACUGUUCACGUUUCGACGGUAUCUAACCAGAAAGCCACGGCUAACUACGUGACAGCAGCCGCGGUAAUACGUCGGGGGCAAGCGUUGUCCGGCUUUGUUGGGCGUAAAGGGAACGCGGGCGGUCUUUUAAGGCUGAUGGGAAAGCCUUCGGCUUAACCGGAGUAGGGCAGUGGAAACUGGGAGACUUGAGUGCAGAAGAGGCGAGUGGAAUUCGAGGUGUAGCGGUGAAAUGCGUAGAUAUAGGGAAGAACCCC
rnacentral:rRNA from 1 species